rnacentral:tRNA from 1 species
GCCCAGAUGGCGGAAUUGGUAGACGCGCUGGAUUCAAAAUCCAGUUCCGCAAGGAGUGCGGGUUCGAUUCCCGCUCUGGGUA